rnacentral:rRNA from 2 species
UACGGAGGGUCCGAGCGUUAUCCGGAAUUAUUGGGUUUAAAGGGUCCGUAGGCGGAUGAUUAAGUCAGGGGUGAAAGUUUGCAGCUCAACUGUAAAAUUGCCUUUGAUACUGGUUAUCUUGAGUUGUAUUGAAGUAGGCGGAAUAUGUAGUGUAGCGGUGAAAUGCAUAGAUAUUACAUAGAACACCAAUUGCGAAGGCAGCUUACUAAGUACUAACUGACGCUGAUGGACGAAAGCGUGGGUAGCGAACAGG